rnacentral:rRNA from 1 species
GAUGAACGCUGGCGGCGUACUUAACACAUGCAAGUCGAACGAUGAAGCCCAGCUUGCUGGGUGGAUUAGUGGCGAACGGGUGAGUAACACGUGAGUAACCUGCCCUUAACUCUGGGAUAAGCCUGGGAAACUGGGUCUAAUACCGGAUAGGAGCGUCCACCGCAUGGUGGGUGUUGGAAAGAUUUAUCGGUUUUGGAUGGACUCGCGGCCUAUCAGCUUGUUGGUGAGGUAAUGGCUCACCAAGGCGACGACGGGUAGCCGGCCUGAGAGGGUGACCGGCCACACUGGGACUGAGACACGGCCCAGACUCCUACGGGUGGCAGCAGUGGGGAAUAUUGCACAAUGGGCGAAAGCCUGAUGCAGCGACGCCGCGUGAGGGAUGACGGCCUUCGGGUUGUAAACCUCUUUCAGUAGGGAAGAAGCGAAAGUGACGGUACCUGCAGAAGAAGCACCGGCUAACUACGUGCCAGCCGCCGCAGUAA